rnacentral:rRNA from 1 species
GUGCCCCACUAGUCUGGGAUACCACUUGGAAACAAGGUGCUAAUACCGGAUAAGAAAGCGGAUCGCAUGAUCAGCUUUUAAAAGGCGGCGUAAGCUGUCGCUAUGGGAUGGCCCCGCGGUGCAUUAGCUAGUUGGUAAGGUAAAGGCUUACCAAGGCGAUGAUGCAUAGCCGAGUUGAGAGACUGAUCGGCCACAUUGGGACUGAUACACGGCCCAAACUCCUACGGGAGGCAGCAGCC